rnacentral:rRNA from 1 species
GGUCCCUACGGGGGGCAGCAGUGGGGAAUAUUGCACAAUGGGGGGAACCCUGAUGCAGCGACGCCGCGUGGGUGAAGAAGUCAUUCGUGACGUAAAGCCCUAUCAGCAGGGAAGAAAAUGACGGUACCUGACUAAGAAGCCCCGGCUAACUACGUGCCAGCAGCCGCGGUAAUACGGAGGAUGCGAGCGUUAUCCGGAUUUAUUGGGUUUAAAGGGUGCGUAGGCGGACAGUCAAGUCAGCGGUAAAAAUGCGGUGCUCAACGCCGUACAGCCGUUGAAACUGGCAGUCUUGAGUGGGCGAGAAG